rnacentral:rRNA from 1 species
UACAGAGGUCUCAAGCGUUGUUCGGAUUCAUUGGGCGUAAAGGGUGCGUAGGCGGCGAGGUAAGUCAGAUGUGAAAUCCCGGGGCUUAACCCCGGAACUGCAUUUGAUACUGCUCUGCUUGAGGACUGGAGAGGAGAUCGGAAUUCACGGUGUAGCAGUGAAAUGCGUAGAGAUCGGGAGGAACACCAGUGGCGAAGGCGGCUACCUGGACCAGCACUGACACUGAAGCACGAAAGCGUGGGGAGCAAACAGG